rnacentral:lncRNA from 1 species
CUAGAAAUUGAACAUCUAUCCAUUUAUGUCAAAAAAGAUUCCUUUUUCCUAAUUUUUAGGGAAUUCUGGCAUAUUCUUUUGUACCAUAAUUCUUAUCCCUUCACUCCUUCACUUUAUAAAUACACUCCUCUUUCCAAAAUAAAGAACACAUACAUUUUGAUAAACUUGAAAACAAAGAUAGACAGACCUAGACAUAUAUUUUGAGAAAAUUUCUCAAUUCUCCACUAAUUUUGGAGUCUCAUUAUUUCACUCUUAGUAAAGAACUCCAGCUGGUUUCAUAUUAUUUUUCAGGAUUUUUGGGCUUAAAUGUAAAGCUAUGUUGGAUUUCUUGUUUGGUUAUUGUUGCUAUUGUUUCUUACUCAAACUUUCAGAGACAUAUUUUUUAUCUGUUUGUUUUCUUGCUGUUGUCAAGAUAUUUUUCUUAACAAAUGUAACGUUUCUUUUUUUUUUUUUAUUGAAUCGUGACUUGGAUUUGUUGAUAAAUCUGUAACUUGUUUGAAUACUGCGUGAAGUUAGUUUGAAGUUGUUUGGUUGAAAAGUUAUGUUGCAAAUUUAUUUACACUGUUUUAGGCAAAUAUAUUAGUUUAAAAAUGUUCUAAAAAUUACAGAAUCUACUAAAAGAUUCAUACAUUUAUAAAACUUGUAUGUUCAUAUGUAGUAGUAUCACAUAGAUCAUGUUUUAGAAAUUCUGUUAAAAUAGCAAUAGGUUGCUUGGUUAUUAUUAUUCAG